CAGCAGUGGGGAAUAUUGCACAAUGGGGGAAACCCUGAUGCAGCGACGCCGCGUGAGUGAAGAAGUAUUUCGGUAUGUAAAGCUCUAUCAGCAGGGAAGAUAAUGACGGUACCUGACUAAGAAGCCCCGGCUAACUACGUGCCAGCAGCCGCGGUAAUACGUAGGGGGCAAGCGUUAUCCGGAUUUACUGGGUGUAAAGGGUGCGUAGGUGGCAGGGCAAGUCAGAUGUGAAAGCCCGGGGCUCAACCCCGGUACUGCAUUUGAAACUGUCCAGCUGGAGUGCAGGAGAGGUAAGCGGAAUUCCUAGUGUAGCGGUGAAAUGCGUAGAUAUUAGGAGGAACACCAGUGGCGAAGGCGGCUUACUGGACUGUAACUGACACUGAGGCACGAAAGCGUGGGGAGCAAACAGGAUUAGA
rnacentral:rRNA from 1 species